GUGAAUAUCUCCAUCCGCGCAUCACCGAUGGGAAUCCUAGAUGUCUACAAGCCUUUGAGUGGAGGUCGCCGGCGGCGAGUCAUCCAACCAUGGUCAUCUCUGACCCCCCUUGCAGCCGCAGGUACCUCCCGCCAUUGAAGGCCUGCUCCGGUCCGGCGUCGAUGGGACCUUGUUGCCCGAGUGGUGCCCUCCAGCCAGGGGACUCAGAGCGGCGGCCGGCGGCCGGCGCCACGGGUCGUCCAGCUCCGGUGGUCGCGUUGGCCGGCGGUGGUGUUUGCUGGGGAUGCAGGCUGCCGCAUGGGUGGAGGCGUCGCGACAUGGGAUUGGGGCGUCAUCUGACCGGCGGUGGUGUUUGUUGGAGAGGCCGGUUGUAAAUGGGUGGAGGCGUCCCGGCGUGGGAUCGGGGCGUCAUUUGGUCGCGCUCGAUUCGCUCGCUCACGAUUUGGCUACCACUAGCGGCCUCCUUUGCCUCCGUCCGGCGCCAUGUCAUGUUGGUGUGUUUGGGAGGCGCAAUGGCGAGCGGUGGUAUUGGCGGCGUGAGGAGCCUUCCGUGCUGAUGCGAGCAUGAUGUGGGCCUGGUUGGGCUGCGUCCAGGGCGGCGUUAAAGAAUUUGUACUUCUUCGACCUUCAGGAGAUCCACACCUUCUUUCUUGAUGGCAUUGCCGCAAGGAUUUCAAGGGCGCCAACAAGACCACCGGACAGAUCUGCUUCGUCCUUGCUAACGGCGUUCCUUACGGCGAUGACAAUCGUGGCCCGCUCCCAUCUCAGCGCCGCAGCUGAAGACUCUUCGCUAGCAGUUGGGACAAUUCAAUCGUGGCCUAGGUGGGUGCGGCACAGCUACUCUCAUCGACUCAGAACUGUCCUGUAUUCAUUCGUUCGCAGUGUCCAGAUCAUCGAUCUGCCGGCCUGACCUCGCGGCCGCCGCCGCACUCCAAAUGGGGAAUUAGAGGGAUUGUUCCAAAAUCAUCUCAUUAUAUUUUCAGUAUCUUUUGUUUGCUCGGAAGAAAGACCCUUUUUGCAGGCUAACUGUUACAAAAUGAUGCUAAUUGCGAUUGACUUAUGUUGUUCAGGUCAAAUGUUUGAUAGAUUGUUCCAAGUAUUCAAAAAUCCUUUAUGUUUCAAAUUCUAUAUAUAAGAGAUUUUUUAUAUUAGGCGGGCAGUCUGUUCUCUGUUAAGAGACUAGCAUGUAGGAGAUGGUAAGAAUAUUUUCUCACUACGUAUUAUGUCCAAUAUUACAGUGCUUAUUUAAAGGUAAAAUCGUAGAUUGAUUAUGGUUUUUUAGAUUAUUCAUUACUUUCCCAAAUACAAGAUGUAUUGUCUCUACUUGAUUUGGAGAUCAUUGUUCUUCUACGUGGAAUAAGAAUUGGCAGUAUCAUCAAUAGUUAUGCAUAGGAGGAAUUUGAGGACGAACUGAUGUUCUUGGCUUUUUUGCUUUCCUUCAAAUAAAACUCCACGGUUACCUGUGGGGUUGCAGUGAACUUUGUUUUAUCAAGGGCAAGUUUGACCAAUCCAACGAUUUUUCAGGUCAGAGUAGAAUGGACUGUUUUCAUGUUGGGUAGUUCUUUUGCAUGACAAUAAAAGUUGUUGUUGGUUUAACGUGCCUAAAGCGUAAUUAAUAGCUGUGAUAUACCUUAGAGGCCAUGGUAUCUCUCACUAGGCAUUAUCUACCACCAUGUGAAAAGAGUUGGUCCCCUAGAGCAAUGAUUUACCAUCAUUUUGAUUUCUCAAGCACCAAAACUGAAGCCUAAUUAGUAUACGUUGUAUACAUUAAAACCAUUGUAAAAACUUCAUCUCAAAUCCAUUUCAGCCUUGAUUGUGAUGGAGUCCAUAUUAAUUUCAGGUUUAGUUACUUGCGAUUUGCCUAUUUAUUACAGGUUGCUUUCUGUACACUGGAAAAUAAAAUUAACAUGCAGACACAUAUUAAGAUUUUGAAUUUGAAGAGUCACGGUGGAAUUUAGUUGCACAUUAGCUUAUCAGCACACAAUAAUCUUCUACUUUACUGAAGUUCAUAGAUAUACCUGGCACAUAUAUGUCUCUUAACUCCUCCUGCAAACUUUUGUUGUAAUCCAUGGAGAAGACCACUCUUGCAAUCUCAAAUUAAAGCACUUUAUCAACUUCUGUGUGUCAUCUGUGUUAACGCGCCUAUCUGAAUAUUUGCAGUGGCAUAUUGUAAGCUGCCAGUUUGGUGCUGAUUGUAUAUGAAAUCACAACACAACCAUGUAGCAGUGUCUUAUGGCAUUACUGUAGUAUGUGAAGGUGUAUGGUGUCUUUGUCUUAUUCAUAUGGAUGUUACAAUUUGGAGCAAUGUGAAGGUGUGUGGUUAGUUGUAUACUUUCCUGUGUUUUCUAUUUUUCUUCCUGAGUUUCUCAAUAUUUGUGGAUCAGAUUCAAAUUGUCAUAUUCCUGUGUGAAGCUAAGUACUACCUGCAUUGUUACUUUAGGAAGCAUUGGCUGAGUGGUUCUACAGACUGAUCAUGGCUUGAAACUUUUUUGUUUGGAAAUUCUAUAUCCGCAAUUGAGCACCAAGUACUUAAUUAUAGGGUAACCAACAUCUUUCUUUUCAUAAUUUUGAUUUUUUUUGGGAUUUACGUUAGGAUGACACGUAUACAUUGGAAGGGCUGGGUCUGGGUCUGCGCGUGCGCGUGCGCGUGCACGUGCGCGUGUGUGUGUGUGUCUGCGCGUGCAUGCCAUGUGAGUCGACUAGAAUUCUCUCCGAAUCCUUUCUUUUUUUUCUAUGGUGGUCGGCCAUGUUUAGUAUUUUAUUGGUUGAGCAGAGUGAGAGACCCUAUCGUACUGUUGCCAUAGAGGUACAUAGUACCUGGCCAUGUGGUGAAAAGGAAUGAAAUUCAUUGAGUUGGUUCUUGGUAGAUAUAGCAAGCUAAUCCAUCAGCAUUACAAGGAAAAUAACUGAUCCAUCAGGAACAACAACUGCUGCUGCAUAAAUCGAAGUGCUUUGUAUUGACUUCAAAAAAUAGGCUUUAUUCAUUGGAAGUAUGUUUCAAAUAUUUUGGGAACAAACUUCUACUGAAAAUUCAGAUCAUACCUUGGCGAGCCGCACGAGGUCACCAUCCUCAGCUGAAGGCCUUUAGCUGCCGUUGUCAAAUUUUACUGAAGCCAAAUGGUAGUCUGAGCAUACAUUAAAUAUCCCCUCCCCCCAAAGUUGAUUCGAUGGAUUAUUCCGAACAUUAAUAUGUGAAGCUCUUUGGACCGUGCUGUUACUGGUUAGUAUAGUAUCUAACUAAUGCUAGGAUGUUAAGGUGUGGACUAAUUGAAACUGUUGUUUCAGAACUCUAUUAUAUCCAAAGGAUUAUAGGCCUACUAGCCCGAUUCGAAGUUCUGUGUUUGUAUAUAGGCCUACUAAUCCUCCAAGCAUGCUCCAUUAGAAAUUUGCAUAUAUUCAGGGACUCACUUUUCAAUUUAGAACCUAGAGAUAGUUUUUGACACCGGACGCCCUGACUGCUUUGUUUUUACACAUGGAAACCAAACUUUCCAUUAACAUCCUAGCAAUAUAGCUGGCUAUAAAAACAUGAAUAAAUUCUGGCGCAUCUCUUGGUCAUUCUUGCGCUCGCGGUGGCGCCGCUGCCUUCCGUGCCAACUUUCCUGCAUCUUCCCACAUUCAUCAUCGUGGCCGACACCCUCUACCUCGCCAUCUUCUCCUCACUGAUGCCUCCCUGUUUCGGUUGCUGCCCUGGGUCGCCCGCGCUGACUAAACGUGGAAGAGUUAUGUCUGCAAGAAAACACAUUACAACAUAUUUGCAUAAUUUAGUUAGUAUUACUUUGGUCUUUCUGAAUCAGAAGGUUUGCUCACAAAUUAUCUGAUUUUUACAAUCAUGGAUAGUAAUAUUUACAUUUGAAUGCAGAGAAUGAUUAUCAUUCGGCAUCAGUUAAUGGUUUUUUUAUUCCUUACCUUAGAUUGUCCUGUUUGCUAUCAUCCAUUUUAUUUGACCAAUUUAUAUUUAGUUUUUGCAUUACUGCAGUUGCGAUUUGUACCAGCAUCCAUGUCCACCAUUACUGAACAUAUCUUCUUACAUGGACACUAGAAGAGCGGCCAUGCAGACAACCUUGGUGAAGGAUCUAUCACCUUGGGGAUUUCAAUGGAAGAUCAUUGUGUGUGUCGCUCAAAUCUGGGAACAUAGGGAUCAAUUGACCCGUCGUAAUUUGUUCGAGCUGGACUUCAUUGUAAUUGGCUAAGAGGGCAACAAAAUGGAAGGAUGCAUCCCAGCCAAUCGAAUUGACCAGUUCAGAGAUAAAAUAAAGGAUUGUUCGAUACCAUUUUAUUCGUUGUAGUAGGAUCUACUCUGAAUUCAGUUUGUGCAUUUCAGCAUUAAGCGGUUUCCAUGGGUUUUAAGGUUAAUCUAUGGGAUUUUCAACAUUAUUUAUUGGGAGGGAACACCCUGUAACUACGUUAUAUUUUAUUAUUUCUGUAUCAUUUUCUGUUCGGGAACUAUCAUACUGUUUGUUUAAAUUACAUGAUUAUUUCCUGCUCUCUACUUCUCUUCUUUGGUCUCUGGAUCUUGGUAGACUACUGAUUUGUUGCUACCUCUUGUGAGUAUGUUGC